UACAGAGGUCUCAAGCGUUGUUCGGAUUCAUUGGGCGUAAAGGGUGCGUAGGUGGCGCUGUAAGUCGGGUGUGAAAUUUCGGAGUUUAACUCCGAAACUGCAUUCGAUACUGCGGUGCUUGAGGACUGGAGAGGAGACUGGAAUUCAUGGUGUAGCAGUGAAAUGCGUAGAGAUCAUGAGGAAGACCAGUGGCGAAGGCGGGUCUCUGGACAGUUCCUGACACUGAGGCACGAAGGCCAGGGGAGCAAACGGG
rnacentral:rRNA from 1 species